rnacentral:rRNA from 1 species
UACCAGCACCCCGAGUGGUCUGGACGUUUAUUGGGCCUAAAGCAUCCGUAGCCGGUUCUACAAGUCUUCCGUUAAAUCCACCUGCUUAACAGAUGGGCUGCGGAAGAUACUAUGGAGCUAGGAGGCGGGAGAGGCAAGCGGUACUCGAUGGGUAGGGGUAAAAUCCGUUGAUCCAUUGAAGACCACCAGUGGCGAAGGCGGCUUGCCAGAACGCGCUCGACGGUGAGGGAUGAAAGCUGGGGGAGCAAACCGG